GUCCGCAGUGGCAGUUCUAAGCUUGCUGUCGAAAGAACCGGGGCGUUAACUUCGGAAAGGGACNUGGGAAACUAGACAGCUAGAGUAUGGUAGGGGCANAGGGGAAUUCCUGGUGUAGCGGUGAAAUGUCGUAGAGAUCAGGAAGACAUCGGGGGGCAAGGCGGUCUGCUGGACCAUAAUGACACUCAGGGCAAAGCUGAGGUCUGGGAGCAGGCACACGAGGGAUAG
rnacentral:rRNA from 1 species